GGAAGGUUUGUGCAGUAUUCACCCUCCAGGAAAAGACUUAUUAUAUUAAUGAACACCAUUCUGAGAAGGUUGAGCUACUUUGAACGUUUAGUAGUAAAAAUACACUGUUUCAAGGAUCAAGUCAAAAAUCUUAAACAUCCUAAAACUCCUUAUACAAUCCAUAUCACAGGUCCCUGAGUGUCAUGGCCUGAAGAUUGAUGGUGCACGGAUGUUGUCCUGGAUCCACGUUUCUGCAACAUCAAGUCCUCAACAGUUCAUCA